rnacentral:lncRNA from 1 species
GCCCAGUGGUGGCCACCCCUCCCUCGUGUCUCAUCCCCACCUGCCAUGGCUGUCACUCUAUCUCAGCGACCCAGUUUUCCUCCUUGUCUCUGUUGGUGGGGAGGGCGGCCCUAGGGGGACAGUGUCCCCCUUUGUGGCCCGGCGACCGGUGGAUCAGAUGUCCCUGGUGGGGCUGGCAGGCGCGUCUGCUGGCUCGGGCCAGGGGCCAUGGCUUUCAGGUCUUCAAUAGCUCAAGAUUAGGUUCCGUCCCUGGGGGACCCUGUUGUGUGGCCAUUGUGAUGGCCUGGGAACCACAGCCUCCCAGGCCAGAGAGAGAUGUGUCUCCCUGCCCAUGGAGCCCUGGCCUCCUCCGGGCCGUUUGGGCACCCUGCAAGGCAUGUAGAAGUGUGCACAUACAGCCACAGCCAGUACAGGGCCUCGGGGAAGCGUGGACCCCGCCUGCCAGAUGCUCCGCCUGCUGCCUGAGCCACUGCUUGGGAAGAGGCACUGCUUCUUUACAACCCCACGAGCAGAGCACGGGCUGGAUCUCAGGUGUGCGCUGCUGAUCAGUGCACGACCUGCACAGGUGUGCACGGCGGCCCUGGCACCGCCCCGGCCCCUCCCACCUUUCUCGAGAGUUUCUUCAGCUUCACGGCUCCCCUUGGCUGCAUCCUCCCACAGGACCCCACUCAGAUUGCAGCACUGGUCCUCGGCCGCUGGCUGGCAGCUGACAAAACCACAGGCCAAUCCCCGCUGGCAGGAUGGGGACAGGCUGACAAUUUCAUGUCCUAACUGCAGGGCCUUGCAUUUCCUCCUCUGGAGACUCAGGCUUCCGUGA